AUUGAACGCUGGCGGCAUGCCUAACACAUGCAAGUCGAGCGGACGGAGGGGGCUUGCUCCCGGAUGCAGCGGCGGACGGGUGAGUAAUUCCUAGGAAUCUGCCUUGUAGUGGGGGAUAACGUCCGUAAACGGGCGCUAAUACCGCAUACGUCCUGAGGUAGAAAGUGGGGGAUCUUCGGACCUCACGCUAUCAGCUGAGCCUAGGUCGGAUUAGCUAGUUGGUGGGGUAAAGGCCUACCAAGGCGACGAUCCGUAACUGGCCUGAGAGGAUGAUCAGUCACACUGGAACUGAGACACGGUCCAGACUCCUACGGGAGGCAGCAGUGGGGAAUAUUGGACAAUGGGCGAAAGCCCGAUCCAGCCAUGCCGCGUGUGUGAUGAAGGUCUUCGGAUUGUAAAGCACUUUAAGUUGGGAGGAAGAGAAGUAAGUUAAUACCUGGCUGUUUUGACGUUACCAACAGAAUAAGCACCGGCUAACUUCGUG
rnacentral:rRNA from 1 species